CCUACGGGUGGCAGCAGUGGGGGAUAUUGCACAAUGGGGGAAACCCUGAUGCAGCGACGCCGCGUGGGCGAAGAAGUAUUUCGGUAUGUAAAGCCCUAUCAGCAGGGAAGAAGAAAUGACGGUACCUGAGUAAGAAGCACCGGCUAAAUACGUGCCAGCAGCCGCGGUAAUACGUAUGGUGCAAGCGUGAUCCGGAUUUACUGGGUGUAAAGGGAGCGCAGGCGGCACGGCAAGCCUGAUGUGAAAACCCGCGGACCAACCGCGGGACUGCAUUGGGAACUACCGGGCGGGAGUGCCGGAGAGGUAGGCGGAAUUCCUAGUGUAGCGGUGAAAUGCGUAGAUAUUAGGAGGAACACCGGCGGCGAAGGCGGCCUGCUGGACCGCGACUGACGUUGAGGCUCGAAAGCGUGGGGAGCGAACAGGAUUAGAUACCCGAGUAGUC
rnacentral:rRNA from 1 species